UACGUAGGUGGCGAGCGUUAUCCGGAAUCAUUGGGCGUAAAGAGGGAGCAGGCGGCAGCAAGGGUCUGCGGUGAAAGACCGAAGCUAAACUUCGGUAAGCCGUGGAAACCGGGCAGCUAGAGAGCAUCAGAGGAUCGCGGAAUUCCAUGUGUAGCGGUGAAAUGCGUAGAUAUAUGGAAGAACACCAGUGGCGAAGGCGGCUCUCUGGUCUGCAACUGACGCUGAGGCUCGAAAGCAUGGGUAGCGAACAGG
rnacentral:rRNA from 1 species